UACGUAGGUGGCUAGCGUUGCUCGGAAUCACUGGGCGUAAAGGGUGCGUAGGCGGGUUUUUAAGUCAGAGGUGAAAUCCUGGAGCUCAACUCCAGAACUGCCUUUGAUACUGAAAGUCUUGAGUAUGGGAGAGGUGAGUGGAACUGCGAGUGUAGAGGUGAAAUUCGUAGAUAUUCGCAAGAACACCAGUGGCGAAGGCGGCUCACUGGCCCAUUACUGACGCUGAGGCACGAAAGCGUGGGGAGCAAACAGG
rnacentral:rRNA from 1 species